rnacentral:rRNA from 1 species
CACGUAGGGCGCAAGCGUUGUCCGGAAUUAUUGGGCGUAAAGAGCUCGUAGGCGGUGUGUCACGUCGGCCGUGAAAACCUGCAGCUUAACUGUGGGCGUGCGGUCGAUACGGGCAUCACUGGAGUUCGGCAGGGGAGACUGGAAUUCCUGGUGUAGCGGUGAAAUGCGCAGAUAUCAGGAGGAACACCGGUGGCGAAGGCGGGUCUCUGGGCCGAUACUGACGCUGAGGAGCGAAAGUGUGGGGAGCGAACAGG